rnacentral:lncRNA from 1 species
UGAUGUACCUUUCAGUUCCGUUUAUUUCGGAACCCUUGAGUGGGAUUUGUGGUUACAUAUUCUUUCAGAUGGUUGUGAUCGGUUCAAGAGGCUGCAACUCAGCGCAACAGAUGUUCAGAUGACUUGGAGGAUGACACAAUGCAUUUCAUUCAUUCAUCAGCAUCAUCACAUUUGGCAUUUACCUGCAUCUAACACAUGU